GAGAUUUAUCCUGGCUCAGGAUGAACGCUGGCGGCGUGCUUAACACAUGCAAGUCGAACGAUGAUCUCCAGCUUGCUGGGGGGAUUAGUGGCGAACGGGUGAGUAACACGUGAGUAACCUGCCCUUGACUCUGGGAUAAGCCUGGGAAACUGGGUCUAAUACCGGAUAUGACUCCUCAUCGCAUGGUGGGGGGUGGAAAGCUUUUUGUGGUUUUGGAUGGACUCGCGGCCUAUCAGCUUGUUGGUGAGGUAAUGGCUCACCAAGGCGACGACGGGUAGCCGGCCUGAGAGGGUGACCGGCCACACUGGGACUGAGACACGGCCCAGACUCCUACGGGAGGCAGCAGUGGGGAAUAUUGCACAAUGGGCGCAAGCCUGAUGCAGCGACGCCGCGUGAGGGAUGACGGCCUUCGGGUUGUAAACCUCUUUCAGUAGGGAAGAAGCGAAAGUGACGGUACCUGCAGAAGAAGCGCCGGCUAACUCCUGCC
rnacentral:rRNA from 1 species